rnacentral:rRNA from 1 species
AACGAACGCUGGCGGCAUGCCUAACACAUGCAAGUCGAACGAGAUCUUCGGGUCUAGUGGCGCACGGGUGCGUAACGCGUGGGAAUCUGCCCUUGGGUUCGGAAUAACUUCGGGAAACUGAAGCUAAUACCGGAUGAUGACGUAAGUCCAAAGAUUUAUCGCCCAAGGAUGAGCCCGCGUAGGAUUAGCUAGUUGGUGAGGUAAAGGCUCACCAAGGCGACGAUCCUUAGCCGUCUGAGAGGAUGAUCAGCCACACUGGGACUGAGACACGGCCCAGACUCCUACCGGGAGGCAGCAGUGGGGAAUAUUGGACAAUGGGCGGAAAGGACCUGAUCCAGCAAUG